CUAAAAAUAAUAAAAAAAAAUAGAAAUUUUUUUUAAGAAUGUGGAGAUUUGAGGAAGUGGUGCUGUAGGGGAAAGUAGGUCACCAGAAGAGGACCAUCCUGGGGUAUGUUACCACUCUAGGGUAUGAUGAACAGCUGUUCUACCUCCACCAUUGACUGAACUCUCUGAAGCCCUGAGCUAAAACAAACCUUCAGUGUGAGGGGGUGGGGAGGAAGAAGAGGUUGUAUUUCAGUUUGCAUGUCAUUUUCAGUUACUUUUUUGUUGCCAUGAUGAAAUAGCAUUAUCACAAUCAACUUACAGAGUUUAUUUUAGCUUUUGGUUCCAGAGGAAUAAGAAUCCAUCAUGAAAGAAGGUGUGAUAGCAAGUAGCAGGAGCAGGCUUCCUUCCAGGACCAGGAAGAUGAGAGUGAUCACAUCCACAAAAAGGAAGCAGAAAAGCCUCCCAAGCCAGACUGCAAGCUUCAUGCUUUAAGGCUCUGUCAUCUCUUACCUGAACCCCUGCACCUGCCUUCUCUCAAGUCUCUCAGUUCCCAUCUCCCCCACCACAGCCUGAGCUCCUUAUAGCAGCUAGAGGGAUUCUGUGAAAGCAGGAAAGCAUCAAGUCAUCAUGACUUCCCAUAAUCCUUUGAAGAAAAACUAAUAUGGAAAUGACUCAGCAAUCUCAAUUGCAGGAACAUGCCCAGAAGUGAGAGCGUGGGCAGACAUGUGCACACUCAUGCUACAUCAGAGUAUUUCUCCAGAGCCAAAAAGGGAAGCCAGCAGUGACUAUAGAUGGUAAAUGGACAAUAAAAUGUAGCAUCUAUGUGCAAUGGAACCUUUUCCACCACAGAAAGGAAGGGAAUGCUGACCAUGCUAUGCUAUGACAUGAACUUGAAGACAUCAUGACAAUCAAAAUCAGUCACACUGAAUAAAAUAAGCCAGACCUGGAAGGAUACAUGCAAGUAGAAGUGUUCCUUUUGUGUCUGCGAACCUGAACACCUGUACCUCAUAAGGGGCCUUGUCAUCUCACUCGCUAGAGGAAGCUGAAGAUUAACAGCUAUACCACUUUUCCUAUAGAGAUGACAUCCUCUGAACAAGGCAAGUUUAAAGGCCACCAGAAUCACAUAUGUAAAUGUUGUUGAGACACCUCAGUGGGACUUCUCUUAAGGAACUUGAGAAUGUACUAUUGUCUCUCUUUUGUAUGUGUAUGGUGGGGGUAGGUUAUGUGUGUGGUGCAGACGCGUAAGCACAUAUACACACAUGCAGAGGCCAGAGGACAAGCAUCUU